UAACUGGUAGCUCAGUCUGGUAGAGCGCAUGAUUUAAAAGUGAGGGCGUGGGUUCGAUUCCUACCUGGUGAU